CCACGCCCGGCCUCACUUACCUAUAUUUUUUUCCUAAACAGCGACAACUCAGGACCCUCUGGGUUGUUUACUACUGCCUUCUGCUGCCUGAGAAAACCUGGGAUACUGAGAUGAUAUUUUUCUUCUUUCCUGUAGAGUUGCUAGGAUUCAGCCCUUCUCCAAGCCCUGCCAUCAGCAGCUGAUCCUGGAAUGAGUGCUGAGAGCAGCACAGACCACUCCACGCUUCCACUCUGACUGCAGGCCUGGCCUAGAAUGUGCCCCUCACUGCACAGUGCACCUGAAAGCCUUUUUCAAAACAGGUGUCUCAGCCUCCCAGAAAUACAGCUCUUGGGAUGUUACUUUUGGAGGUAAGGAACGGGAAAGAUGAUAAAGUAGCCUGUCACCCAGUUUGCAGGCAGGUCAAUCAAUGCUUGCAUUUAAUGAGUACCUACUACUAUGUCAGUGCUGCAGGGUGGCCGGAGCAGAGGGAGGGGGUCAUGAAAGAGUAAGAAACAAAGGCCCUGCCCUCAAGGCCAUAGUCUCAACUACAACAUAGCUGUUAAGUGCACCUGAGAAAUUCAGAGGAAGGUAAGACGCCUGCAUGUGAGGACAAAAAGAUUUCAUUCAGACCAUGGAAUUUCAACUAGACAAUCAAAGGAUGGCCAGGAUUUAAAUCUGGGAUGGUGUAGAAGAAAACUGCCCAAACCACCUUCUCAACAGCAUGGCCAAUGUGAAAGUCUGCCUUGAUUCUUCCUUCCCUGAUCUUGGCUAAAUAUUUCAUCUUUUUUAUAGGCACUUGGCAGAGGUUCCAGGAUGGGAAAGCAGGGCAGUAAAUUAGAUCUUCGAGGACGUCUCAGCCCUACACACCCACGUUUACACAAGCUCCAUUCAUCCCCGCUCUGUGUAAAGUAACUCUGCUAUUCUCUGCAGCCUGUGGGGGCUCCGAGAUGGGAGUGCUGGAAGGAACCUGGCUCUUGCUACUCAGCUUGGGAAAUAUUCCCUGCAGAGACCUGGCUGCUACUCAGGCUAGGACAGACACACCUCUAUAGCCCACAACCCCUGCCAACAGGACUGCUCUUUUCUUUGAGAUCUGAUGCAUUUCUCAAAAGAGGAAAACUCCUUGCCCCGUGAUGCAGGAUUUCACCAGUGUAUGCCAUAGAGGAACUAUUAUUCAUGUGCAUGAAAGAAAUGUACACAGUCAAAGAUGCUCACAGCAGCUUUGCUCGUGACAGCAAAAAACUGGUAACAAUGAACACACAAUGAAAUAUUAAAAAGCAGGGAAAAUGAAUGAACUACAAGUACAAACAUUACAUGGAUGAAUCUUAGAAACACAAUAUUUAGUAGAAGCAAUGCAAGCUACAGAAAGCUACAUGUAGCACAAUACCAUUUUACACAGCUCAGAAGCACAUGCAACUAUAGAAUGCAUCGUUUAGGGAAACAUCUGAGGGGCAACAUUACAUAAAAAGGCAAAAGGCUGAUAAAAAUGCCCUCAGGAGAAGGGUGCCCUCCGCCAGGGGAUGGGACAGGGACGGAGCAGGGCUAGAGGUGAUGUGUUGUGACAAUCCACAUUCAGCUAGGUGGUGGAUUCCACAGUGUUUCUUACAACUUUGUAACUUACAUGUAUUCUUUUGUAUUUAUCAAAUACCACUUAAUAAUUUUACAUGCUUGUAACCUUACUAAUUUACAUAAUCCUGGAAGCUUGAGAAUUCAAGCUUUGGUAGCUUCAAGCUGAAGCUACCAAAAGAGACAGAAAGGAAUGAGACGACAGGUGGCCCUGGAGGGAAAAAAUCGGUUUGACCUAGCCAGCAAAGUCUCAAGUUCUCUGUCCCCAUUCCUGGGUGGCUUUCCUCCCCACACCUGUGAUCAGCAAAGGCACCUGAAAAGCCUGAGAAGGAAUAGAGAGUAUGUAGACAGAGGUGACAAGACUGGACAGGUGGGACAGCUGUCCUCCUGUGAGAAGGCCAGACCCCAAGUAGGGAAAGGAAAAUCUUUCUGUGUGGCUCUGAAAAACAGAUCCAGGCCCAGCAAGAAAACUUCCUAUGGCUAAAACUUCCCCAAAUGGAGUGAGCAGCCUCUGGAGGCAGGGAACGUACACCUGCAGGUGCCCACUGAGAGUGGCUGGAGCUGCGCUUCCUGUGUCUGAGGAACGGGAGAGCCAGGGCUGCGCCAGACCCAUGCACCAAAUCCCACUCCAAGGACAGGGAGGGCUGGAUGCGCCAGCAUCACUGGGGGACCUUGUUAAACAAACAGCCCAGUCUCCACUCCUGACCAACAAACUCAGUCGCUAGAGGUAGGAACUGCAAGUCUAUAGUUCUGCAACCUUCCCAGGUGAUUCCGAUGCAAAGCUGGCCUCAAAACCACCCGAUUUAAUGUCCUCUAAGUUUUCUUUUAGUUCAAAGUUCCAUGGACCAAUUGCAGGGAGCAGAAGGCAGGAGACGGAAAGCAUCAGGGCAGGGGAUGGGCUUUUGGUCCUCAGUUACCCUGAUGAUCCCACCCAAAUCCUUCUUGCUGUGUCCAUAUCCCUCCCUCUGACUCCUCCUUAUCUCUUAGUGGGGUAAAAAAUUAAACUGGUUUCAUAUCCUCUGGUUAUUGGAAGCAUUCUUAAAAAUAAACAUAUCUCACUGUAGGAAAAAAAAAAAACAUAACAGAAGCCAGCGAUCAAGAGAGGAGAUAUUUUUAAGAGAAAACUAUACACAUUUCUCAGGAUUUACCAUAUAGGAGGAACGGGUACUUGGUCAUAAGGGCACCUUGGUAGCUGGGAAUUCUAUGCCCACUUAAAUUCCAAAGUUUGCCAUCCUCAGGCCCAUAAGAAUCAUACCAAAAAGAAAAAUCCAGGACUGCAGUUCCUAACCAGACAGAAGGGACCUCUGGAAGAGGCCCGUGGUGAAGGCCCUACAGACUCUUAAUCCCUCCAAGGGCACAAAUAACCGUACUGCUGCAAUCAGGAUAAGCAGGUGACGCGGGGCUGAUGCAGGACUGUUCGGGCUGGGGCCAGGUCCAGCCUGGAGUGCUGUCUUCGCUGACUCCCCAUCUCAGAGCAUGUUUGAUGUCUUCAGUGGUGACAGCAGGACCAGAAUUUUCUGCCUAGAGCUGAACACCAGGAAGUCCUGGAAACUAAACUUGGGUCCUGCUGACCUUCAAAAGCAUUCAUCCUCCUGGACAACGUGUGAUGCCUAUAACCGGCACCGGCCUUCCAAGCAUCUCCACCCAGAGUCCCCCAUAGGCUCUGGGCAAUCCUGGGGAGAGACCAGUGAUGGGGACGCCUCCAUAGAGUGAUGCAGGACACAACCAGCUAGUAGGUUUUCUGCUUCGUGGAGAGAAGUCCCAGACAGAUGAUGGGAGGAGAAGAAAGGAAGGGGGAAUAAACAAAGAAAAAGAAAAGUAUCUACACACUGCUCCGUUGU
rnacentral:lncRNA from 1 species